rnacentral:misc_RNA from 1 species
AACCAUCAAUGAGGACCUUUCUUUUCGGAGGGAUGCUUUCUUGUUGGAAUGUGGAGUGUGCUGGCUUGUUCAGCUCCUCUGAAAUGCAUUAGCGAUGUGGUGUUCCACAUGCUUGAGCUUGCAUUGGCAUUGAUAGUCAUUCAUGUCAGAGUAGCUCAGCUGUGGAAAGGUUCACUUGCUCCUAAUUGCGAUGGACUUUCUCCAUCCUUUGGCCC